AUGCUCUUCAGAACAAUGCUAUCACGUUGCAGAUGAGAAAGGCAUCAAAAGAUCUCGCAAACAUAAAUGACAUAUUUACCUAAAUGCUCAGUCUAAUAAUAAACCAAGAAAUUAAAAUACACUAACAGGAAAUAUUGCAAAAUAUGACUUACAGAGGCUAAACAUUGAAGGAAAUUAAGAAAUGCCUAUUUGGAGAAGCCUCUAAUGCCAUCACUUCCACACCAAAGUUAAUGAAAAUCCAAUCAGAACACCAACAGAUGACAGCCUGAUCUUGUAUCUUGUCCAAAAGAGUUUAUAGACAGAAUAAAUCCAUAAGUUGUUCUUCACUAAUGACAGCACAAGGAACAUCUAAAAACUGAUGUCUCACCGCAAAGCUAAAUUAUGAAUUGUGUUUGGUAUAUGUACUUCAAAAUGCCCUGUUCAUGACAGAAAUUCAGCAUUGAGAACAAUUAAAUUCUGUUGAUUCUAAUAAAAAUGU